rnacentral:rRNA from 1 species
GAUGAACGCUGGCGGCGUGCCUAAUACAUGCAAGUCGAGCGAACGGACGAGAAGCUUGCUUUUCUGAUGUUAGCGGCGGACGGGUGAGUAACACGUGGAUAACCUACCUAUAAGACUGGGAUAACUUCGGGAAACCGGAGCUAAUACCGGAUAAUAUUUUGAACCGCAUGGUUCAAAAGUGGAAGACGGUCUUGCUGUCACUUAUAGAUGGAUCCGCGCUGCAUUAGCUAGUUGGUAAGGUAACGGCUUACCAAGGCAACGAUGCAUAGCCGACCUGAGAGGGUGAUCGGCCACACUGGAACUGAGACACGGUCCAGACUCCUACGGGAGGCAGCAGUAGGGAAUCUUCCGCAAUGGGCGAAAGCCUGACGGAGCAACGCCGCGUGAGUGAUGAAGGUCUUCGGAUCGUAAAACUCUGUUAUUAGGGAAGAACAUAUGUGUAAGUAACUGUGCACAUCUUGACGGUACCUAAUCAGAAAGCCACGGCUAACUACGUG